CAUGAUCUAACGGAUGAUGUUGUUUUCACACGGAUCCACCUUUCCCCUUCCUUAUCUCUCAUCUCUCUCACAACUCACAUCUCACCCGUCUCUCUCUCUUUCUCUGGCGAUUCCAGAUCCAGAUCUGGAUCUAGGGUUUCUCUGCUAUCUCUCUCGCGAUCCAAGCUAUUCUUUUUGGUUGUUAUUUGAUGAAUUUAUGAUGAAGGUGUGUUUAGGAGAGCAAAUUCUUGAAGUUUUUAGGGCAAUGGCGAUUUAAGCCGAUUGGAUCAUGUGGUACCGAUGCUGAUAUGCAUUGUACCGUCUCUCAUUCAAUCUGCAAACUCGAGGUCAACUGGGCUGGGAAUUUGGUUGGAUCAAGUACCGGAGCUGAAGUAAUCAGUGGCGUGUCCUCUUCCAGACCAGUUAAAUUGGCAGAUCUUCAAAGAAUUCUAAGCAAUAUUGGACCCUCAGGGGAGGCAGCAGAUCCCGAUGGAGGUUUAGGAUUGGGUGAUAUCCUGAAGCCUGAACUUCUAUUGCCAUUGAUGGAGACAUUGUCACUCGAGAACGUAGCAUCUCAUUUACCUGAGGUUACUGCAGGGUGAAUGGACACGAGUGUCCAAUUAAUGGAGUUGCUGCAAAGUCCUCCUUUUCGUCAACAAGUUGACUCUUUUACCUAUGUUUGAAGACUGGUCAAAUAGAUCUGACUCAAUUUGGAGUUGACCCAAGUAAAUACAAAUUCAUGGGCCUAUAUUUUCUUGAGGCUCUUAAAGAUUCUGUUGCAAAAACAUCGGAUACUGAUGAUCCAAUGCAAGAUGCUGGUGAUUCAAGAUCUCAGACUUGUAAUCAAACUGAUGAAAUGGAUGAAGGUCAAUAACAAAAUUUGAUUCGGCAGUUUGUUUUGUUCUCAGUGAGAGACAUAACAUUACAGAUUUGUGGAUACUGCAAGUGUUCCUUUAUUACCUUUACAGCUAAAGAUGGGAUGGUGGAUGGCAACGUGCUGCGAUGGCUGCAAUGGUGGAUGGCAACGGUGCUCCGAGCAGCCUCAUAGUCGAUCCAUGGCCAAUAAUUACAAGAGGAUAAUCGGUAUGUCAAAGUUUCCAUUAACCAACACAAGCAACUUUCUUCUGGAAUUCUCAUCCAUCACGAAUAACUGGUGAUUCCAUUAAAAACAUCCUACUAAGCUUAAACCCAAGCACAACAACAUUAUAUCCAAAAUAAAAACACGACCAAAGCUCAAGUCAGUUGACUUUUCAAAGUUGACCAGUCCAUUGAUUUUGUGAAAAAAAAAAAUUGGUCUUUGCUGAGUGAUUUAAAGGUCGAACUCACACCUCUCCGUCUCGCUAAAGUCGCCGGUAAUGCUCCCAGCAAGUUCUAUAAAAUUGUACUCCAUCCUUCCCUCUCGGCACAUACAUUUGGUAACUGGAUUGUUUGGCGUGGAUUUGGUUAUCAACAUCUGAGAUCUGUAGUCCCUUGACGGCGUGUACCGUAUGGAAGGUUCAAAAAUAUAUUUGGUCACAACUCACAAUAAAGCUGGAAUUCAAAGGGGAAGUGGCGGUCUGUUCGCUGAAGUGGAAGAGAUUUAUCACUACAGCCAAGAGGGUAGACCUGACUGAUGUGGGCAUUGUUGGCGGUCUGUUCGCUGAAAUGGAAGAGAAGGACAAGGGGCUUCCAAUUCUUUGUAUAUGGGUCGAGCCAAGGGACUUCCAAAUUCUUUGUUUACGUCAAGCAGAAUGACAGUGCGAGAUGCUCUGAACUCUGCUCUUAAUGAGGAAAUGGCUGCUGAUCCCAAUGUUUUUGUUAUGGACGAAGAGGUAGGAGAAUACCAAGGUGCAUACAAGUGGCAAAACAGGCUGGUGAAGUCUGGAAGCUUUACUCAUUCAUAUCCGUUUUGCUGGAGAUCUGAUACUCCUCUCAUCUACAGAUCCCUUCCCAGCUGCUAUGGCGGAUGUUGUUUCGUUAACGGGCCUGCUCAUGAUGCUAUUCAAGAAUAGUGUUUUAAUUAAGCGAGGAAGAUGACUCUAUGGAAACAAUACCCAAAAUUCUCAAGUAUAAUUGUGAAAUUAUUCAAAUUAAAAAGAGGCAAAUGGGAGUCUUGAUGAGUCAUUUGCUGUAAAUGUUGAAGAAAGCAGCAAGUUUAAUGCUUUUAAGGUACUAAAAAUGGGCAACAAACUUAAGUAUUAGUUGUGUUUUUAAUAGACAACUUGGGAUUCUGGGGAACUGUUUUGUUAUGUAGAUGCAAAAGCCUAUUAUUAUGAGAUGUAAUAUUCAUUCACAGUUUGUUGGAUUUUCUUUGUAUAUGGUUUUUUGUUUUUACAUUCUGUACGUUUAACUUUGACUAUAGUUUGUGACUUUAAACA